rnacentral:rRNA from 1 species
UGCCGCGUGCAGGAUGACGGUCCUAUGGAUUGUAAACUGCUUUUGCACAGGAAGAAACAACAUUACGUGUAAUGUCUUGACGGUACUGUGAGAAUAAGGAUCGGCUAACUCCGUGCCAGCAGCCGCGGUAAUACGGAGGAUCCAAGCGUUAUCCGGAAUCAUUGGGUUUAAAGGGUCCGUAGGCGGUUUAGUAAGUCAGUGGUGAAAGCCCAUCGCUCAACGGUGGAACGGCCAUUGAUACUGCUAGACUUGAAUUAUUAGGAAGUAACUAGAAUAUGUAGUGUAGCGGUGAAAUGCUUAGAGAUUACAUGGAAUACCAAUUGCGAAGGCAGGUUACUACUAAUUGAUUGACGCUGAUGGACGAAAGCGUGGGUAGCGAACAGGAUUAGAUACCCUGGUAGUCCACGCCGUAAACGAUGGAUACUAGCUGUUGGGAGCGAUCUCAGUGGCUAAGCGAAAGUGAUAAGUAUCCCACCUGGGGAGUACGUUCGCAAGAAUGAAACUCAAAGGAAUUGACGGGGGCCCGCACAAGCGGUGGAGCAUGUGGUUUAAUUCGAUGAUACGCGAGGAACCUUACCAAGGCUUAAAUGUAGAUUGACCGGUUUGGAAACAGACUUUUCGC